CUCCCAGCCCCGCCCGCCCCGGCGGGUGAGCAGACAAGCCUCUCGGGCUGCAGUUAUAGGACGAGGCUUGGCCAAUCCCCAGCCAGACCUUCAUGAGUCCUAUUGUGCCGGAAGCUGUGACUUCAUCAGCCGUGUCACCUAGGAGUGUUGCUCCGAUGCAGGUAUUCUCUGCAUAAUGCUGUCCAUAAGGAUAAAGAAAACAAUGGCAUAAAGAUGGAUCAUCUGGGAAGACCAGGCUGUCCCCUGGAGUCACCAAGGACAGAAGUUCUUGGAGGGCAGGAAGAUGAGAUGAGAGAAGAUGCCCCACUAUUCAUGAGGGUAGCAAGAGAGCCCAGGGAUUCUGAGGCUGAGAUCUGUGCCCCUGGGCCAUCAGUUUGAGAGUGGCUAAGCCUACAAGGAGUCCUGUGACAUCUUAUCUCAGAUGGGGGAGGUCUUCUGAGACCCUCAUUAUCUGUGUUUAUACUGGAAAAAAAGAUAAUAAAUAUUCUGAGACUCUCAGAAAA